GGUUGUACGACUGCUCCGCAGCUGGCUGCUCCUCGAGUCCGCCGAGCCUCUGGAGAGACCCCUUUCUUCGUUCUUCGCCGGGCCCCGGGUCAUGCUGCCAGCCUGACUAGGUAGAGGAAGCUCCCGGGAGACGAAUGAGGAACCACCUCCUCCUGCUGUUCAAGUACAGGGGCCUAGUCCGCAAAGGGAAGAAGAGCAAAAGACGAAAAUGGCUAAUUUCGUGAUCCGCUCCGCCACGCCCACCGACUGCAGUGACAUUCUCCGGCUGAUCAAGGAACUAGCUAAAUAUGAAGAAAUGGAGGAACAAGUCGUGCUAACUGAAAAAGAUCUGCUUGAAGAUGGGUUUGGAGAGCACCCUUUCUACCAGUGUCUGGUUGCAGAAGUGCCAAAAGAGCAUUGGACACCCGAAGGUUACAGUCUCUAGCUUCGCCAUGUACAUGGCCCUUCCGUGUACAUGGAUGGGCGGGGAGGUAACUAAAAGAUCCGUUACUCAAUAAAGUAGAUGAUCAUGAUAAAUGAGGAUACAGCAUUGUUGGCUUUGCUAUGUACUACUUUACAUAUGACCCAUGGAUUGGGAAACUGUUGUAUCUUGAAGACUUCUUUGUGAUGAGUGAGUUCAGAGGGUUUGGCAUUGGUUCUGAAAUUCUGAAGAACCUAAGUCAGGUUGCAGUCAAAUGCCGAUGUAGCAGCAUGCACUUCUUAGUGGCUGAAUGGAAUGAGCCAUCUAUCCAGUUCUACAAGAGAAGAGGGGCUUCCGAUCUGUCCAGUGAGGAAGGAUGGAGACUUUUCAAGAUCGAUAAGGAGUUCUUAGUAAAAAUGGCAGCAGAGGAGUGAAAAGUGCUAGUGCUAGCAUUAAUGGGGACAAGUUCCAUUCCUGAACCAGUCUUCAUAGAAUAAAUUCUCAACUUCUUGCUUUCUAUCCUGUUCUGUAGUCAAGUCAUAGCAUGAGCACUCAUUCAAAAGCUUUAUUACCAGUGACGUUGUAGCAUGUUUGUUCCUUGGGUCUGGUGCUAAAACAUCAGGUCUGUGGGCGGUUUGGAAUCGCACUUUUCUGUGAGCAUCUUCUGAUGAACAAGGUGGUGUCAUCUUAAAAUGUAAAUGAAUAAAACUUCAUUCUUGUGAGUCAUUUAAAUGUGUACAAUGUACACACUGGUACAUAGAGUUUCUGUUUGUCUUUUUUUAAAAAAUAAACUAGUCUUCAAUUUAA